rnacentral:rRNA from 1 species
GAUGAACGCUGGCGGCGUGCCUAAUACAUGCAAGUCGAGCGAACAGACGAGGAGCUUGCUCCUCUGACGUUAGCGGCGGACGGGUGAGUAACACGUGGAUAACCAACCUAUAAGACUGGGAUAACUUCGGGAAACCGGAGCUAAUACCGGAUAAUAUAUUGAACCGCAUGGUUCAAUAGUGAAAGACGGUUUUGCCGUCACUUAUAGAUGGAUCCGCGCCGCAUUAGCUAGUUGGUAAGGUAACGGCUUACCAAGGCGACGAUGCGUAGCCGACCUGAGAGGGUGAUCGGCCACACUGGAACUGAGACACGGUCCAGACUCCUACGGGAGGCAGCAGUAGGGAAUCUUCCACAAUGGGCGAAAGCCUGACGGAGCAACGCCGCGUGAGUGAUGAAGGUCUUCGGAUCGUAAAACUCUGUUAUUAGGGAAGAACAAAUGUGUAAGUAACUAUGCACGUCUUGACGGUACCUAAACAGAAAGCCACGGCUAACUACGUG